GAUGAACGCUGGCGGCGUGCCUAAUACAUGCAAGUCGAGCGAACGGACGAGAAGCUUGCUUCUCUGAUGUUAGCGGCGGACGGGUGAGUAACACGUGGAUAACCUACCUAUAAGACUGGGAUAACUUCGGGAAACCGUAGCUAAUACCGGAUAAUAUUUUGAACCGCAUGGUUCAAAAGUGAAAGACGGUCUUGCUGUCACUUAUAGAUGGAUCCGCGCUGCAUUAGCUAGUUGGUAAGGUAACGGCUUACCAAGGCAACGAUGCAUAGCCGACCUGAGAGGGUGAUCGGCCACACUGGAACUGAGACACGGUCCAGACUCCUACGGGAGGCAGCAGUAGGGAAUCUUCCGCAAUGGGCGAAAGCCUGACGGAGCAACGCCGCGUGAGUGAUGAAGGUCUUCGGAUCGUAAAACUCUGUUAUUAGGGAAGAACAUAUGUGUAAGUAACUGUGCACAUCUUGACGGAACCUAAUCAGAAAGCCACGGCUAACUACGUG
rnacentral:rRNA from 1 species